rnacentral:rRNA from 1 species
UUGACCUCAAAUCAGGUAGGACUACCCGCUGAACUUAAGCAUAUCAAUAAGCGGAGGAAAAGAAACUAACAAGGAUUCCCCUAGUAACUGCGAGUGAAGCGGGAAAAGCUCAAAUUUGAAAUCUGGCAGCUCUUUGAACUGUCCGAGUUGUAAUCUAGAGAAGUGUUACCUGUGCUGGACCGUGUACAGUCUCCUGGAAUGGAGCGUCACAGAGGGUGAGAAUCCCGUCUUUGACACGGACUGCCUGCACGUUAUGG